GAUGAACGCCGGCGGCGUGCCUAAUACAUGCAAGUCGGGCGAACAGACGAGGAGCUUGCUCCUCUGAUGUUAGCGGCGGACGGGUGAGUAACACGUGGAUAACCUACCUAUAAGACUGGGAUAACUUCGGGAAACCGGAGCUAAUACCGGAUAACAUGUUGAACCGCAUGGUUCAACAGUGAAAGACGGUCUUGCUGUCACUUAUAGAUGGAUCCGCGCCGCAUUAGCUAGUUGGUAAGGUAACGGCUUACCAAGGCAACGAUGCGUAGCCGACCUGAGAGGGGGAUCGGCCACACUGGAACUGAGACACGGUCCAGACUCCUACGGGAGGCAGCAGUAGGGAAUCUUCCGCAAUGGGCGAAAGCCUGACGGAGCAACGCCGCGUGAGUGAAGAAGGUCUUCGGAUCGUAAAACUCUGUUAUUAGGGAAGAACAAAUGUGUAAGUAACUAUGCACGUCUUGACGGUACCUAAUCAGAAAGCCACGGCUAACUACGUG
rnacentral:rRNA from 1 species